CUCCAACUUCAGGAGGCCAUUAGUAACAAUGGCAACAAAACAUGCGCAUUCUUAGCCAACACAGGCUAUUGGGUUAAUGGCUAAUGCUGAGCUUCAAUUCGAAAUGGCAAUGAGGGAUAAAGUCAUUAACAACCAACGGAAAGCGCUGAGAAACAUAUGAGACUUGCUGAUGAUUAGUUACUUAAAAUAGCUGUACAAUCAUGCACCUCUGCAAAGUUUAGAAAAACCAGAGUAAUGUAGGUGAAAGUGCGGGAAUUUUUUGUUAGAUUAAGGAAACAUAUAUACUUGAGCUACAAAGGAGGUAACUUUCUCAGUUUAUCUGUAAGGUAUAUGAUCGAUUAAUUAGGCACUGAUCUCUUUUUGAUUCAAGUCAACUUGAAAGUGAAUGAAU
rnacentral:lncRNA from 1 species